AUUGAACGCUGGCGGCAGGCCUAACACAUGCAAGUCGAACGAGUGGCGGACGGGUGAGUAAUGUCUGGGAAACUGCCCGAUGGAGGGGGAUAACUACUGGAAACGGUAGCAAAUACCGCAUACCAUCGGAUGUGCCCAGAUGGGAUUAGCUAGUAGGUGGGGUAACGGCUCACCUAGGCGACGAUCCCUGGCUGGUCUGAGAGGGUGACCAGCCACACUGGAACGGAGCCACGGUCCAAACUCCUACGGGAGGCAGCAGUGUGGAAUAUUGCACAAUGGGCGCAAGCCUGAUGCAGCCAUGCCGCGUGUAUGAAGAAGGCCUUCGGGUUGUAAAGUACUUUCAGCGGGGAGGCGUUACCCGCAGAAGAAGCACCGGCUAACUCCGUGCCAGCAGCCGCGGUAAUAC
rnacentral:rRNA from 1 species